rnacentral:rRNA from 1 species
GACGAACGCUGGCGGCGCGCUUAACACAUGCAAGUCGAACGGAAAGGCCUGCUUUCCCUUGUGGAUUGCGGGUACUCGAGUGGCGAACGGGUGAGUAACACGUGAGUGAUCUGCCCCCAACUUGGGUAUAAGCCUGGGAAACUGGGUCUAAUUCCCGAUAGGACUGCAGGGUGGUGCCUGUGGUGGAAAACGAUUUUCUAGUGGUUGGGGAUGAGCUCGCGGCCUAUCAGCUUGUUGGUGGGGUAAUGGCCUACCAAGGCGGCGACGGGUAGCCGGCCUGAGAGGGUGGACGGCCACAUUGGGACUGAGAUACGGCCCAGACUCCUACGGGAGGCAGCAGUGGGGAAUAUUGCACAAUGGGCGGAAGCCUGAUGCAGCGACGCCGCGUGGGGGAUGACGGCCUUCGGGUUGUAAACUCCUUGCGACCGCGAGGAAGCCACCUGGUUGGAAGGGUGGUGACGGUAGUGGUAGAAGAAGCACCGGCUAACUACGUG